GAGUUUGAUCGUGGCUCAGAUUGAACGCUGGCGGCAUGCCUUACACAUGCAAGUCGAACGGCAGCAUGAUCUAGCUUGCUAGAUUGAUGGCGAGUGGGCGAACGGGUGAGUAAGUACAUCGGAACGUGCCCUGUAGUGGGGGAUAACUAGUCGAAAGAUUAGCUAAUACCGCAUACGUACCUGAGGGUGAAAGUGGGGGACCGCAAGGCCUCAUGCUAUAGGAGCGGCCGAUGUCUGAUUAGCUAGUUGGUGGGGUAAAGGCCCGACCAAGGCGACGAUCAGUAGCUGGUCUGAGAGGACGAUCAGCCACA
rnacentral:rRNA from 1 species